rnacentral:snoRNA from 1 species
UGUAUUUAUUUUUAAUAUUUUAAAUGUUUACAUUUCUUAAAAACAAAGUGUGUUACAGGCAGGUGCAAACAGUAUAUCCUCUUUUGCAACCCAGGACUCAUUGCUGGCGUGAGAUUUUAGUACAUGUAAGAAGGAAUAUG